AAAAAAAAACAUGACGAUUUAUGUCGGAUUAGAAUAAGUGCAUGUGGAGAAUAGUAGGGUUGCCAUUAUAAAUAAGGAAGACAAUGCUCUCAGAAUGCAAUUUAUCUCGGACUACAUCGACUGCAUGACCACUUCAAAACGGAAGUGAAUUUUGUCUGUGCUAGAUUGCAUUUACUGUGGUGAUAUUAGUUGUGAUGAACAUCAUAAGUUCAAAGGAAAUGGCGUGUCAUAGGUCAAUAGCAUGAGCUCACCUAUACCUCUGAGGGAGCUGCAGGUUACCUCUGUGUCGCAAUCCAUACCCGUGUGCUGCUGCUGGUAGCAGUUGUGGUACAACAGGUAGCUGGAAAGCAUAGUGUACUUCUGCGUGAUACUGAGGCUGAGUAGGUACAGCCAUGGGCGGAACAACUAAAUCUGCUGGAGCCACAGCAUUCGGAGUAGCAAUGUAAAGCUUCAAUCGGUCACAGUGUAUGGUCUGGACUUUGCCCGUGGAAUCGGCAAUGGCAAAUACAACAUCAUUGAUCUGAGAUGCAAUGGUGAAGGGGCCUUUCCAGGGUAGAUGAACCUUUCGCGUCAGGCCGAUCUUUACUGCAGGGUUAUGUAGGCUAACACGAUCAUCAAUACUGAGACGAGGCUUAUUCGUGAACUUAUCAUACAGAGCUUUCUGGCGUUUCUGAGCAACUGCUUCAGAAGCACAAGCAUGAUCAAAGGCUUGCUGUAGGUGACACUUCAAUCGCUGUACAUAGUCGGUGGCGGUAAAGGCCUGCUGUGUAGGACUGUUGAACAUGACAUCAAUAGGUAGGUGUAACUCACGACCAAACAUCAAUCUACCGGGGGUCUUCCUUGUGGAGGAAUGAACACUGGAGCGAUAGGCUAGAAGACGUCGUUGUGUGUUGUGUGUGUGUGUUCAUCCCAGUUGGUGUGGUGAUCAUUCACAUGAGCUGAUAAUAUGUUCUCAAUGGUUCGACUCAUGCGCUCCACCAGACCAUCACUCUGUGGUCUAUACGCGGUGGUGUGUGAUUUCCGUACAUCCAAAAGUUGACAUAUCUGCUUGAACAAAUGCGAUUCAAACUGAGGUCCUCUAUCAGAGUGAAGUUGAUACGGCAUGCCGUAUCGACAGAACACACCAUCAACUAAUACAGUGGCGAGUGUCUCGGUACGCGUGUCAGGAAUACCAAACGCCUCAGGCUUUCGUGAAAUAGUCCAUAAUGACAACAAUGUAACGAUAACAACGGGAUGACUCUGGUAACGGGCCCAUGAUGUCAAUCGCCACACGUUCAAAUGGAAAUGAAGGCUGAUCUUGCACCAAUGGUGCUUUCGGGUUAGGUGUUGGCGACUUGCGACUUUCACAUACAGAGCAACUCUUGCAUAAAUCCGUAACAGAUGCAGUCAUCAAUGGCCAAUAGAACCACCGUGCUCGAAGCUUCUGUAGAGUACGUUCUAUUCCUAGAUGGCCACCGGAGACAUCAGCAUGGGCACUCUGCAUUGCUGUUGUCUGAAGAGAUGAUGGAACGACUAAUAGCAAAAUGGGAGUUUCGCUAUCCUCGGGUUGAUACACCCGGUACAAAACAUCAUCACAUAACUUUAGGCGUUUCCAAUUGCUCCACAGUCUCAGUACACCUACUGAUACACCUCGCAUUGCAGAGUCACUACGUACAGGUCGGUCUAGAAGGGCUUCUUGCCAACCAAUCAGGGUACUGACGUCUGGAUCUUGAAGUUGAACAGUUCUUAAUUCAGCAGCUAUAAAUGCUUCACACCAAUUAGGAUCACUAGGACUAGAUGGUAAGUCACUGGGCUGUGUGCAGGAAUCAGCUUCUACUGAGUACACAGGACAGGGGACAUCAGCAUUUACUUGCCUUUGAUCAUUUUCUGGAAGGCGUGACAGAGCAUCAGCGUUGGCGUGUUUGGAGCCAGGCCGGUGGCGGACAGCAUAGGAGAAUCGCGACAGUCGCUCAAUCGAUCGGGCAAGCAGGCCAGCGGGCUCCUUGAAGGAACUCAACCAAAGAAGAGACUUGUGGUCAGUACGCAAUGUGAAUUCAGCUCCAAGCAAAUAAUGGCUAAAUGCAUCAGCAAACUCUACGACAGCUAGCAGUUCACGCUUAGUGACCGAAUAGUUCUUCUGAGACCGUGAUAGGGAUUUGCUUGCAUAAGCAAUGACAACUUCAUGACCAUCAUCAUUCACUUUGGAUAGUACAGCACCAAUACCCGUACCUGAUGCAUCAGUGUCAAGAAUAAAUUAAUGCCUUCUGUGCGUCAGGAUAUGCUAGUACUGGUGGUGAUAUCAAGUGUGACUUCAAUAACAAAGGCCUGCUUGCAGUCAUCUGUCCAUAUGAAGGGAGUAUCUUUAUGUGACAAGAGGUGCAAAGGACCGGCUACAGUUGAAAAGUUAGGUACAAAUCUGCGGUAAUAGGAGGCAAAGCCAAGGAAACUACGUAACUCUCUAGCAUGGAGAUGAGGGCACCGACCAAUCCUUGACGACCACAUACUUAUUGGUAUCAGGUAGAACACCAUCAGCAGAGAAGGUAUAACCCAGAUAGGUCACCGAUGAGCAGAGUAAUUGGUACUUCUUGGGUUUAACCUUGAGACCUGCCAUUCGGAGCCGGUUGAAGAUGAGUUGUAGUCGUUCCAUGUGUUCCGACAAAGAUGAAGAGAACACACUAAUGGCAAAUUGAUGGCACAAGGUCCCCUAGCACUAGGUUCAUCAGGCGUUGAAAUGUUCCAGGAGCGUUGCACAGUCCAAACGGCAUUCGGUUCCACUCGUAUAAGCCAAAUGGGGUAACACAUGCAGAUUUGGCUUUGGCGGCUUCAUCCAACUCAACUUGCCAGUAGCCCGAUGCAAUGUCCAACGUGGAGAAGUACAACGCACCACUCAUGGCAUCAAUGGCAUCAUCAACUCUAGGCAUGGGGAAAGCGUCUUUCUUGGUGAUUGAGUUCAAGUUUCUGUAGUCAAUACACAGUCGGAUCGAGGAGUCUGGCUUGCGAACUACCACGAUAGGUGCAGCCCAGGGGCUCUUCGACGGUGAAAUCACAUCAUUAUCUAGCAACUCUUGAACAUGGGCUUCGACUUCAGCACGCUGUUGAAUGGGCAGGCGUCAAGGGGGUUGUCGCUUAGGCUUCUCAGAAUCGGUCUCGAUCUGGUGCGUAAUUACAUCCGUCUUACCUAAAUCAAACUGACCACAUGAUAUGACGAAUCCAAGAUGGGUGCCGUGACAUUAUCAGAAUCUACAGUGAAAGAAAAAGGAAUGAGCUGCCGAGUCUGGGGUUUGAACCUGUGAGAGGCGAUCUGGAUGAAACCGUAAACUUAGGUAAAACUACAACUUGGGAAAGACAACGUUAUAUUUCCGUGGAUUCCAGUUUUUCUCCCUUCCUUAUCAAAACAUAAUUUAAGCGCAGUUUAGCGCGUACUGGUUUAUGAUUUCUUUUUCUUCUGUUUGUAUUUAGCGCUUGACCGGUUAUUAUUUUCCUUCUCUUUAUUUUGCGCUACAUAUUAUUAUUUUUAUGGGUUGAGAGUUCGUAUUGGACUGUGAAAAAAGAGGAAAGACAACAAGAUGAGACGACCAUAGUCCAUUCAUUGGAAACUGGCACCCUAACUUUUUCGUGUCUCCCGCACAUAGUUGUAGAUAUCGUGAAAACAACAGUACAUCCUGCAUUGUGUGACCCAUGCAAUUACUCCUAGCCACAUUUGAGGCCAGAAAAGUCCAAGGACAGGGAAAUAGAAAUUCGGCCAGGUUUUACAAAAUUGGGACAGGUAUGCCAUGGCAAAAUGUAUGGAGAAGCAGAUCCAAAACCCAGAUAUUUGAGAUUUAAAGUGGGUUUUUGAUCAUCAAUUCGGCCCAAAUCGGACUUUCAAAAGCCAGCGGGACAGUUUCCGAUGAAUGGACUGUAGUAUACAUACAUUACAAUCCUGGAAUGCCACACAGACUCCCACUGCUCAUUUCCUCAUGUUCCUUAUACAUAGGCAUGUCCUUUUUUUCCUUUGGCACCUGCAUACAUGUGCAACGUAUGCACUACCAUACACGUCUGCAGGUCCACACUGCACUCACUGGGCAACCCGAUACGCCUGCUACAUGCAGCGUGCAGCACGCACUGAGUUACCAUAUAAGGUGGCGGUACGUUGCGGUGAAGGGAAUGUUGAUACUAGUCCUGUGAGCGAGAAUCAAGUUGAAUUUGCGGCCCAAAGCUCGGUUUUUGAUGCCUUUGGACAACGAGUCCUUCAACAUUCCCUUCAUCGUAACGCACCGCCACAAGAGAUGAAGUCCUCGGCUCAUUGACCGCUUCAUCAGCCAUGUAUCAAACAUGUCACAAAGGUCCAGCAAGAAGUAAAUACAAAGAAACACUUUCUACAUAUCGGACAGCAAUGAAGAAGCGAGAAUAAAACAGAAUCCUUCGCUGUCAGUUUUUUUCCGAUCCAAGAGAGUCCCGUUUUUUCUGGCCACCUGGGUGAGUACACGCCAAACGCGGUGAUUGAUCGUGGCGGUUCCAGAACAAGAGCUCGCGCUGGGAGGAAUGCACUGCAUGUAUCGCGUGCCCGGGUCACGCAUUCAGUACGCGUGCCAUGCCCCGCCAAGUCACUGCGUGUCUUGUUUGGCAAAAGAUCUAUUGUGCGCCUGUCCUGGCUCCGGUUUGCACUUACAGCUCAGCGAUCAGAAAUAUUUUUUUCUUUUACAGCAGUUUGGAGAGCUCAAACUGUUCAGUUGUUGUUUUCUGCUUCUUGCUCCGCAGUAGUGGUUGGCUUGUGAAUUCUUUUUCCCACCAUCCCACCCUUACCAUUAUCUAUAACUAGGACCUCACUUCCGGUCCACUUUUCACAAUAAACACCGGGUGCUGGUACAACUCUUAACGGCAAUGGUUUAACUCGUUCAAUCACUUCGUGCUCUAUGUUGAGCCAACACACGCGCUCUAUGUUGAGCCACCAUACGCGCUCUAUGUUGAGCCACUCACUCUCUCGCGCUCUAUGUUGAACCACUCACUCUCUUGUGCUCUAUGUUGAGCCUCUCUCUCUCUCUCUCUCUCUCUCUCUCUCUCUCUCUCUCUCUCUCUCUCUCUCUCUCUCUCUCUCUCUCUCUCUCUCUCUCUCUCUCUCUCUCUCUCUCUCUCUCUCUCUCUCUCAUGCUCUAUGUUGAGCCACAUUGCCUCACUCGCAGCCAGCACUCGUAUAAGUGUUAACUCCAAACUCCGUGCCCUGUGUGUUGGUGUACUUCAUAGCGGUGUAGCAUCUGCAUGUGGAUGUGGGAUGUUGGCUAAUAGGCCAUUCACACGACGUGCAAACUCACUUUUAUCGUACUGUCUCCAGGGAUAUUUACUCGGAUACGAUAAACUUGGACUCCCGCGUGCAACUGAUUUUUUAUCUUGGCCGAGGCCCUUUUGCUUGCGAUUAUCUUUGCACGCCGGGAAAAGUGUCGGUUGUUGAAAGUGCGUACUGCAAAUGCAGUGCUUGAACAAAGGAAAAUUCAAAAUUUAACAUUUCCCGGCAAUUUCAGGGGGUCACUAUGGAUACAUUGACGAUUGCAAAGUUUGCCCAGCACCGUGUGAACUGGAUCACGGUUUGCCAGUGUUAUCUUGAUCACACGCGUGCAAAUGUGUGCACGUCGUGUGAAUGGCCUAUAAUGGUAAAUAUGUAGAUGGACUCCGAAACAUGCAAACAUCUUUGACUAUGCGAACGAGACCAAAGCGGAGAACGAGAGAAGUUCAGCACAGUUCCAAUCUGACGAGUCAGAUACACUGACACUCUCUUUCGUUCGACGCCACAAGGAUACCCUGUUUGACUGGACAAGAGCUGCCUGUACCACCGUGUCAAAAGGCUGUCCAACUACAUGGCAGGACAAUGACUGAGGUGUGCUGAUCUUCAGAAGCUUGCGGAACUGAGUGCUGCUGAACAUUUCCAUGGCCAUGAGCAAUGGUGAAGCUUGCUAUUCCACUCUCAGCAUGUGCUAGUAUUAUGCUGACUACUGCACUAUGUUGAUCUCUUACACUAAUACAUGUAUGUAAACGUGCGUGCACCCGUCCACGUAUGCAUUCGUUUCGUAUAAUUAUUUGUUAUCCCUCUUUACGUGUAAAUGGGUGGACGUUUGCAUGGCUGUUGGAGUUGCGUGUGUAUUGUGUCUCUACUCUUUUCUUGGUGUUUUCUUGGCGUUGUAUAAGUUUGUGUGUGUGUGUGUGUGUGUGUGUGUGUGUGCGCGUGCGUGUGUGUGGACGUUUCCAUGGCUGUUGGAGUUGCGUGUGUAUUGUGUCUCUACUCUUUUCUUGGCGUUGUAUAAGUUUGUGUGUGUGUGCGUGUAUGUGUGUGUGUGUGUGUGUGUGCGCGCGCACACAAUAAUUUGAAAACAAUAAAUUAAUUCUUGGCUCUCAAUCAUAGCCUAUUCUCUUUCGAUUAUUGGUAUUUUUCUUGGUAUUUUCUUGGCGUUGCGUGGGUGUGUGCAUGUGUGUAUGUGUGUGUGCGUGCACAACGAUUUGAGAACACUACAUGAUUGAGAUAUUGUAAUUUGCAGCGUCUGCGAAGAGACCACUUGAUUUGAGGAUGGUGUUUGUAGGUUUUUUUCAUGUAAUUGUUGUGAUCACAGGAGUGUGAUUCCCACCUACUUAUAAAUGUGACGUCAUGUACAUUUAUGUGCUGUGUACAUUAUGCGUCAUGGGUCUCUAGCUCUGUUUUAUUAUUCUGUGUUUUAUGCAUGUUUUGUGAGCGGAUCUUUCAUGUGAUCGCUUAAGCGGGAUUCACAGAAGCUUUUUUGCGAUGCUACAGCCGCGAAACCGGGAAAACCCCAAAUUGCAAACAUCGCGGACCCCACGCAACUGCCGCAACAGGGCCAUCGCGAAAGUUGCUCAACUUUUGCGAUGCGACAAGCGAUUUGGCGUACGAUGUUGGCCUUUUCUACAGCAAAGUUGUACACAGGUUCAAGAGUUGCCUAUAAAUUUGUACAAGGUGUACCAAACCGCGCGGAUACCAUGAUGACGUACCCAAAUCAGCAAGACUUUGUCGCAUCGCUGACUUCUUCUGUGAAUGGUAUUUCGCGAGUUCGCAUCGCACGCGUCCAUCGCAGAUCGCGUCGCAUUGCAAAAAAGCUUCUGUGAAUCCCGCUUUAAGGUGGGACACCACCAUUCGCGGCCCAUAUCAGACCGCAUACAAUUGAAAUAGGCAUAAUUAUCAUGAAAAGGGAUUGGCAGAUUGCCUUGAAAUUUUCCAUGUUCAAUCACUAUAUACUGCUACACAAU